rnacentral:lncRNA from 1 species
GGGGACUCGAGCCCAGUGAUGACGCGACUCUCACGUGACCAGGAGUCGACGUGUGCAGAAGUCCUUAUAGUCCAGGGCCUGUUUCCCUGUAGCAGCUCCCUAUUGCUGGAGAAGGAGAAAAGUGCCCAAGAUCCUUUCAGGAUAUUUGGUUUUUUGGGCGCGACACAAAUCGAGGUGAGGGAAGAGAGAGGAAAAUCCCCUGAAUCCCUGCAGGAUUAAUUUAUUCAAAAA